GCUCGGCUGAACUGCCAGCUUCACGCCACAUGGCCUUGUUCUUGGAGCCUCUGUCCUUGCUCAGCAAACUGCUUCUCCACCAGCCUAAUGUUGUCUUCGUCGUGCUGUUCCUGCACAAUGUCGUCACAGAAAGACAGCCGGUGUGCAGUCCUGUGCUAGUGCCACGUGAUAUAAGGAGCAAGGCUCACUUUUGCUGCCCCUGUGUCCACGCCAACUGCCGGGCUCUGGAUUGUUGGAACUAACGAGCACAAUUCUGGAAGUGGUGCUUCCUGGGACUUGACAGUUGGACCACACCAGGACAAGGAAAACAAUGUUGUAAUGUUGUCUGGGAUCUAAGCAGCCUUCGUUGGUUUUGCCACAUUCAAGGCUUUUUAUCAGGGUAGAUUCCAUUGAUUUGCAUUCAAACACUGAACCAGCCUUGCAUUCCCAGGACAGAUCCCACUUGGUUGUGUGGCUGCUGAAGUGAUUACAGCUUAGCCAGCAUUCCACUUGAAGAAACACAAGUGGGCUGUGAAGCAUUCAGCAUGAAUUCGCGUCAUGAAAUGGAAACGAUGCGGUGGGAUGCACGGGGAUGAACCACACGGAUGUAAUAAAACAGAGCAUGUGGCCCAUCCUUUCCACUCAA